rnacentral:rRNA from 1 species
GAUGAACGCUGGCGGCGUGCCUAAUACAUGCAAGUCGAGCGAACGGACGAGAAGCUUGCUUCUCUGACGUUAGCGGCGGACGGGUGAGUAACACGUGGAUAACCUACCUAUAAGACUGGGAUAACUUCGGGAAACCGGAGCUAAUACCGGAUAAUAUUUUGAACCGCAUGGUUCAAUAGUGAAAGACGGUUUUGCUGUCACUUAUAGAUGGAUCCGCGCUGCAUUAGCUAGUUGGUAAGGUAACGGCUUACCAAGGCAACGAUGCGUAGCCGACCUGAGAGGGUGAUCGGCCACACUGGAACUGAGACACGGUCCAGACUCCUACGGGAGGCAGCAGUAGGGAAUCUUCCGCAAUGGGCGAAAGCCUGACGGAGCAACGCCGCGUGAGUGAUGAAGGUCUUCGGAUCGUAAAACUCUGUUAUUAGGGAAGAACAUAUGUGUAAGUAACUGUGCACAUCUUGACGGUACCUAAUCAGAAAGCCACGGCUAACUACGUG